GACACCACACUUGGCUUCCUACUGACCACAUAAGUGCAGGUUUAGGUGAGUAGAGAUGUGGGAAGAGAGAACAGUGGAGGGAAAGUGUAGACAGGGAUGUGCUUGGAGUGUGUUAGUGUUUGCUGAGACUCUGGGUUAUCAGGAUUGAUAACAGCUGUUGAAUGCUGUGUGCUGGGCACUGUAUGGAUUGUACCAGAUAAGAUAGUGAGUUCAGACUACUAUAGCGUAAUUUCAUAAGCCAGUGCCUUACACCAUAGACAGCUGUGUCUCACUGCUUUGUCGUCUUAAAUGUCUGAGAGCAAGGUUGCUAGCAUGUCCAUUCCCUAGUGAGACCUUCUUCCUGGCUCGUGGAUGGCUACUGUCUUUUCAUAGGCUGGAGGAGCGAGAGCGUGACGUCUCUUCUAGCAGCCAUGAUCCUGUGAUGGCAUCCUGCCCUCAUGACCUAAGCCUAGUUACUUUUUAAAGCCUGCACCUAAUACCAUCUAAUUAGGGAUUACCGUUACAACAUAGGCUUUAGGAGGACACGAACUUGAGCUACCUUAAUUAGUCGCAGCUCAUUGUGAUUUGCCAGUACUGAAUUUGUAGAUAUGGAAUCUGAGGCCUGGCCCAAGGUCACAAUAAACAAAAGAGCCAUACCCAAAGUGGGACAUCUAUAGUGCUCUCUCCAAAGCAGUGGACAGAUCACCUAGCAAGUAUUAAUAGUCUUAGUAAUGUUCUGUAGAAUGGGUAUCCUGGUUCUAGACUGGGCUUGGUUUGUAUUCUGGACUCUCCUUUUAGCUGUGGACAGUCUGUUCAAGACACCCAGUCGAUUCCUAAACCUGGGCAGAACAGAACCCUGUGUUGUGGGAUGUUUCCUGAACACAAGCUGUAAACAUCAUGCCUUUUCCCUCUUAAGAGUGCCAUGUCAUGUACUAUGUCUGAGAGUUAUGCAGUUUUUGGACAAAGAAGUACAAUUAAUGUCUUUUUCCUUCACACUAGUUAGAAGAUACUUCGAAUGACUUCUUUUUCUUUGCCAUCAAGUCAAGAAUGUUCAGCUUUUCACUGAAGAGCCCCACUGUGCAGCUCCUCGGUGCCAGGUCUGAAUUGCCAGAGUUGGGACUGCUGAGUAAAAUAAGGGUUACAUGGAUACAGUCUGUAGUGAUGGUUGACCCAUUGGCCAGACGCCUCCUGAAGUGAACAGUGAGCCGUCAUGCAUGUGGUGUAGGCAUGAUGGGUAAGGGGGCGAUCCGUAUCUCAGGUAGGAUGAGCAGGACAGCAUAAGUUUUUAUCUCAGCAGAGUGCCAUACGGUUUCUAACUUAGGAACUUCAGCUUUUGGAGUUUUCAUUUGCUAUUCCAGGAUGCAGCUGACCUCAGGUAACUAAAACUGCGAUGAGGGAGGUGCCUGUGUCUACAAAACUGUACCUAAGUUAAUGUUCUUCAAGUGCAUAGCUACUGGACACAUUAUUUUAGGUUGUUAGUCCUUUUGUCUUAGAACUUAGAGAGAGAGGAUGAGGAAAAGACAGUGUAUGCUCGGUGCCCUCUGGUUGUGAAGUUGAUAGAGUUGGGCUGGAGAGAUGACUCAGCUGUUAAAGGCUGGGCUCACAACCAAAAAUGUAAGAGAAGUUUAGAGUUGUAUCCAUUGCCUCCUCUAUAUUGCUAAUCUCUUCCCUAGCUACAUUAAAGGUUGUUUUUCUCCUUUCCCCUUCUUUUUUUUUUUUUUUUUUUUUUUUUUUUGGUGGGGUGUGGGGAGAAGGGAGGUGCAUUUUGAAAAGUUUCUGUAGUGUGUCACUAAGAUGAGUUUCUUUUUAGUUUUCUACUUAGAUUUUAUAGAUUAUAUAUCUAUUUUUUCCUGUGUAUUAAGUAUUUAAAUAGUCAUCUUUUUUUUUUCCUUAUCCUUUCAACUUGGGGCUCUGACUGCAUGUAUUCAGUUCCUGUGUUCUCCAAGACGGUUGUUUUUUUCCCUCUCAUACUGUUAUAUUCUUGGCUGUGUAAGCUAUUCUGAAUUCUGCAACCGGCUAUUUCUGCUUCCAGCCUUUUCUGUUAUUGAACCAAUGCCUGGAGGACUUUCCCCUACUGAUUAUUAUGUUCAUUUCUGAAAUAUUACUUGGUUCCUUUUUUUUUUAAGAUUUAUUUACUUAUUGUAUGUAAGUACACUCUAGCUGUCUUCUGACACACCAGAAGAGGGCAUCAGAUCUCAUUAUGGAUGGUUGUGAGCCACCAUGUGGUUGCUGGGAUUUGAACUCAGGACCUUUGGAAGAGCAGUCAGUGCUCAACCACUGAGCCACCUCUCCAGUCUCUACUUGGUUCUUUUGGAAUGUUUUCUUUAAGUUUUUAGUCUUUGAAAGACUUGAGGCUCUGCGUCUAUAAUCAGCCCUGGUAUUCAGGACACUGACCCGGGAGGGACUUGAGUGUGAGCCCAGUUUGGGCUGCAGGUUAUAGCUCGUCCUUUGGCUACUUUGUGGGUUCUUCUUCCUUCUACCCUUCUGCACCCUUUUUCCACCUUUUUCACCUCCUCAUCCUAGAUAUGAGAAAUAAUGGAUAGAGAGGAAAGGGGGAGCAUUAUUGGAGCAUUAUUAUCUUGCUGCUGAUUAGGGCCUUCAGGUUCCUUGGUGCAAGUUUGAUCUUCCUUGCUGUCAGAAUAUCUAAUUUCGUCUUCUUUUUUCUUUUGCAUACAACUAUUCAAUAAACUUGGACCAACAACAACCAAUCAAAAAAAAUCCACCACCAACUCGGGGGCCCUAGCAUUUUUAUAUCCUCUGAAAAGUCCCCAGAACUCCACAUUUGUGGCAAAAUCUCAGAAACUGCCUGCAGCUGGCAAAAUCACGCCUCUGCUAGAGCACGAGGCAAAUCAUAGCUGCAGUGAACAGACUGAAGCAGCCUCAUAUCCCACACCUGGGAUUCAAAUUCUUACAUAACAUUUCCACGUUUUUUAAAGACACCAAAAUUCUAAAGUUGUCACUACAAUAGGUUGAAAUCCUGGCUCAUUCAACAUGCAAACAAAUGUUUAACAUUUAUGCACAGUUAAAAAUUAUAGCUUCCAUGGGCUGGUGAGAUGGCUCAGCAGGUAAGAGCACCGGACUGCUCUUCCGAAGGUCCAGAGUUCAAAUCACAGCAACUACAUGGUGGCUCACAACCAUCCGUAACGAGAUCUGACUCCCUCUUCUGGAAUGUCAGAAGACAGCUACAGUGUACUUACAUAUAAUAAAUAAAUAAAUAAAUCUUUAAAAAAAAAUUAUAGCUUCCAUAUUUGACAUUCCAACUAUCCAAAGUCUUAGGCAUCUAAAGCUAAUGCUUGUUGUUUCCUGUGACUUUGGCAGGUAGGGUUUUGCCUCUGCUUAGGAGGAGCAUGGUUCACCCGUGACGGCUCGGCCUAACUCAAGGAUGCUUGUCUGGAGAGCAGGCUUUCCCCAGGGCCAGCUGCCAGCUGCCACCUCGAGGAUGACUGUUGUCCUUUGCAGGGUCCUUGCAACAACUUGAAAAUGUUAGGCUCUGUGUCCUUUUAUUCCCUUUGGCUCAAAAACACAGAGAACCCUGAAAUGCUAAAAUAUGAGCACGUGCUCUGCCACCCUCCCUGCUUUCUGGUUUAGCCCAAACUAUUUGUUUGUUCUUUUACUAUCUCCUCACUGCCUGUGAGUCUAGAGGUGCAGACAGUGCCUAGCCUGUGAAGAUCGUGCUGUUGGGGUGAAUAGAACUUUUCCAGAAAGCUCUAUUUUACUUGUUUCCUCUUUUGAUUAACAGAAGAGCCACGCACUUUCCUUUUAGUGUUUGUCAUGAAAAGAAUGUUGUCAUUCAAAUAUAAAUUGCUAUAGUUUACACACUUCCAUGAUGGCGUGCUGUCCCUGGGGCAGGAGUGCAGAUGACACUCCUGGGGCUCUGUAGCUUUAGUCAUAUCCCUACUUGUAAUCUCUGACCUUUAUCUGUCAUUCAGGACCUAGCGACAUAGAUAGGAGAGUUAUAGUCACCCAAAGUGGAAGUCACUGCAGUGACAGCUGUAAGCGAGACAUCCUGAGGCCAGGGACAAAGGUGACCUAGAGCUUCCAGCUGAAAUAGGAGAUUCUUCCUUGUUCAUGAUGAGUGUUAGCUUAAAAGGACAGAUGCCACCCACUGCACCCUGUUCAUAGCCACACACUUCCUGGGUGAUGGGAGGAACACUGCUUUGUGGGUGUUGAACAGUCUAGAUUCUUUCUAGAUGUUUAUGUGAUUCAUAUUUGGAUCUCAGGGAGCUAGUACUGGUUUUAAUCCAAAUAAUUAAACCUGCGCCUCUUCUCUUACACUACCACCAAAAUAUGCAUGAUUGUUCCCUUUCUUGUUAGAUAAUGGUUGCUAGUUUUGAAUGUUAGAUCCAAAGAAGUGAUUUUUCCCUCAGGCAUCCGGCAAAGUUGUUAAGUGAUUAGCUGAACUAAUAUAUGUCUUCAUUCUUUAUAAUUGUAUUUGAGAGUUUUAAAACUUGAACAGAAAGUUUGUCCGACCAACAUUUAGAUAUGGUCUGGAGCCAAGUAAGCUUCAUUUGAAGCCUACUGUGAAAGGCUGGAAAAGCUCGUGCUCAGAGAGAGCCACAGUGGUUGUUUAUUAUUCUCACCCUUAAAUCUCUGACCAGCCACGAAUGCUGUAUAAACAUGCUAAUUUAUCUUUUUGGUUUUUCGAGACAGGGCUUCUUUGUGUAGCCUUGGCUGUCCUGGAACUCACUCUGUAGACCAGGCUGGCCUCGAACUCAGAAUUCCGCCUGCCUCUGCCUCCCUCCCAAGUGCUGGGAUUAAAGGCGUGCACCACCACGCCCGGCUAGGUCCUGCUUUUAUUUACCAAGACUCAAAGAGACAUAGGUAAUUGGUUGGGUUGUAUUAGUAAUUAGACUGAAUUCUUUAGUACCUUCUGUUUGCUACUGAGACAGUGCUUAAAUUGUUAAAAGAAAGGGUUUACAUGGCUAGCUAUGUCAGAGCUUGCUGUCCAUCCUGUCAUGGAGGAGGAGUGUGGCAGAGCUAACAUUGUGGAGGUUGGGAAGCAUAUCCAGAGAAGGCAGAGCAGGAGGCAGGGAAGGAGGGGGAGAGACAAAUGGACCGAGAGACAGCCCUACAGGUGUGCUCACUGAUAAUCUCCAAUGCUUAAGCAUUAAUGCUUAUUACUAGAUGGGACAUUUUCUCUGCUGCUGUAUUUGGUUUGGCUAGAAGCUGUUUGACUGUAUUUAUUCAUUUACUUAAAUUCAGUGUAUAUGUGUGUGUUUGCCUACAUGUAUAUAUGUGUACCAUGUGUGUGCUUGGUACAUACUGAGGCCACAAAAGGCUGUCAGAGCCUCGGGAACUGGAGUUAUAGAUGAUUGUGAGCUAUCAGGUGGGUGCUGAGAAUUGAACCCUGUUUCUCUGCCAGAGCAACAAGUGAUCUUAUUAGCCUUUGAGCCACACACAUCUCCAGGCUCAGUUGUCUGACUUUACAGGAUGAGUUUGGAACCUUAGCUGUGAGUCUAUAGAGCCAUCACUCAGUGAAAACAACUGUUUCCAUGUCUUUUAUUUAAAGGCAAUGUUUUAGACCCAAGGGGACACAAACUUGUGAUUUUGGAAAUGUCAUAGUAAAAGAUGAAAAUUAAAACCUUUUCCAAAACUAUUUUUAUGUUCUUAUCCAUUCAUUUCAGUGGGAAAAGUGGGAGCAGCAGGUAAAGGGGCUGCUGCCUGAUAAUGUAAGUUCAGUCCUUGUCACGCACAUGGUUCCCAGGAACGUCAUAGCUGGCUCCUAAGGACAUGCAACCUCAGCUCCGGGUAUCUGACACCUUCCCCUGACUUCUGGAGGUGAGCACCGGCACUUGGCACAUACAUUGACACAUAAAUAAAACGUAAACCUUUAGGAAAUUAAACUGAAAAAGUGUUGCUUGAGGGAGGCUAAUCUCUGACUUGCCCAGUGUCUCCUGGUGCUAACAGUCCCAGGAGAGAGCAGAGAUAAGCCACACAGGAAACAAGGUAAAGGGAUGAGUUGGUGGCUCAGUUUCUACCUCUGAUGUCCAUCUAUCAUCCCCGGGCACUGCUGUUGAGAGGAUGGUUCAUGGCAUCGGAAGGAGGUAUGGACCCCACUGAGGUCGAAGGUCUUUGGCCAUGGCUCAAGCCUCACUUGCUGCUUGCAAGCUGCAGGAAGCUGUCCCUCAGGGUGAGUUCAGACUAGGUGGCUGUUGAGGUGUACGCUCUGCGUUUUGUUCUUGAGCUCACAGAAUUUACUCUCUGCGCUUCUCUUGUCAAGUACAUUUGCUACGUGUGAAGUAAAUAAGAGUUACUAAAACUUGGUUGCUUCUAUUCUUACCUGCGAACAGCGCCUUUUACCUCACACAUUUUAAAAGCUUUUUAGGAGGCUUCUAGGAAGAAAAUUAGCUCAGAUUUGAAGAUUAAAAACCAGGUAAAAAUGAUAAUCUUUAUCAGAGUUUCAUACACAUAUACCGUGAGAUAUGAUCAUUCCAGUCCUCCAGCCUUCCCUCAAGCUCCUGCAAUAAAGCCCCCUCAAAAUGUGUGUGUGUCUCUCCUUUUAUGGUUCUGUGUUUUUGAUAGGUUACCAAGUCCUGUUGGCGCUGCCCAUAUGUGUGUGGGACGGGACUGUGCGCUGGAGCACAGGAAAUCUACCAGUGGCCAGGGAUUUAGAAAAGAAUGGGUCUCCCCGCAGCGGUUCACCUGCUCCGUAAGGCCUCGUGCCUUCUGAUGGAAGCUAGCCAGGAGAGAGAUUCCUGGAGGGAAUGUCCUGAGGCAAAGUGAGUGGUUAAGACACCGGUUUUUAGCUUUAUGACUUAUCCCCUUUUCUGUCUUAUUUGUAAUGUAACAGUCAUGUGACCUGCUUUGUUGUAAGGCCUUGAUGUCCCAUGCAAAUCCCCUUCCUUUCAAAGGAAAAAGACGAGGUGUAGCUUUCUGGAUGCCAUGUGGUACCCCUCUUUUCAUGUCUGUGUCCUGCCUUCCAAAGAGGAGCUGGGAGAUGAAGCUGAGUGCUAGAGCACGGCCCCUUCCCCUCCUGCUUGGCGCACAUGGCUGUGUAAUAAGGAUAAGUUGAUAAUAGCACUGUAGGAGUUGAUUUUCUGCUGGCGGACCCUGAGAUCGGUCAUGUGCUGUCAGGUUCCGUGGAGUCUCACUGUCGCUGAGUGACUACUGUGCUGGUGACCUACAGUUCCAUUGCUGCAGCUGACCUGUGCGCUGCAGGAUAUCACCUUUCUUCUUCCUUCUCAGCUCUCUCCAGGACAUCCAGCUUUAUGGAUUCUUUGUGCGGCCUCUUGGUAGAGCUUCAGUCUGAGGCAACCUCCUUCUCUUCCACAUUCUCUUUAUCAGAGCGAGCAUAAGCUAAAUCUGGCUUUGACUCUCACUCCUGCUGUGCCACUCUUGCCUGGUUUCCUUAUCUAGAAACCAGCAGUACUACAUACCUCUGUAGGGUUAUUUUACAAAAUACUGGCUAUAAAAAGUACUAAUAGGAGUAAAAAAAAAAAAAAAAACUUACUAGUAUACUACAGUUAAGAUGAAAUCAUUUAGUUCAUGGUGGCUCAUGCCUAGGCCAGGCGUACUAUGCCAGUCUGUGCUACAUCGCAAGGUCCUGUCUUAAAAAAACCAAAAGGAAAUAAAUGAGCAAAUAAUAAAUUCAUAGUUCAUGUGGAAAAUACUCAGUAGAGUGCCUGGCAUGACCACAAGGGCUUUUGUAGGUUUGCCUUUCAGUGCUAGGCGGUCAAGAUAUACUGUUACCAACCCCUGUUGCUUCAGCUACGGAUGUUAACCCGCAAUUCAUAUGAUUCUUAGUUAUCUAGGGACAAAGUGAAGUUGUCUAGAUGGCUUCCGGCCCUCACCUAUGGAGGAAGCCCUUCCGUGGCCCUGGAUCCCGUGUAAUAAUGUGCCCUUCGUUUUGCAAAAGAUGUUUUAUCUACAAUUAAGAUUUCUUUUAGCUGGGCGAUGGUGGCACAUGCCUUUAAUCCCAGCACUUGGGAGGCAGAGGCAGGCAGAUUUCUGAGUUCGAGGCCAGCCUGGUCUACAGAGUAAGUUCCAGGACAGCCAGGGCUAUACAGAGAAACCCUGUCUCGAAAAAAAAAAUAUUUUCCUUCCCUUUCCCUUUCCCUUUCCCUUUCCCUUUCCCUUUCCCUUUCCCUUUCCCUUUCCCUUUCCCUUUCCCUUUCCUUCCUUCCUUUCUUUCUUUCUAAAGAUUUAUUUAUUUUAUGUAUUAUGUGAGUACACUGUAGCUAUACAGAUGGUUGUGAGCCUUCAUGUGGUUGUUGGGAGUUGAAUAUUUAGGACCUCUGCUCUCUCUGGUCAACCUUGUUCUCUCUGGUCAACCCCGCUCUCUCAGUCCCUGCUUGCUCUGGCUCAAAGAUUUAUUUAUUAUUAUACAUAAGUACACUGUAGCUGUCUUCAGACACUCCAAAAGAGGGCAUCAGAUCUCACUAUGAGUGGUUGUGAGCCACCAUGUAGUUGCUGGCAUUUGAACUCGGGACCUUCGGAAGAGCAGUCAGUGCCCUUCCAGAGGUCCUGUAUUCAAUUCCCAGCAACCACAUGGUGGCUACAACCUUCUGUAAUGGGAUCUGAUGUCCUCUUCUGGUGAGUCUGAGGACAGCAACAGUGUACUCACAUAAAAUGAAUAAAUAAAUCUUUAAAACUAUUUCUUUUCGGGGCUGGUGAGAUGGCUCAGUGGGUAAGAGCACCCGACUACUCUUCCGAAGGUCUGAAGUUCAAAUCCCAGCAACCACAUGGUGGCUCACAACUACCCGUAAUGAGAUCUGAUGCCCUCUUCAGGUGCGUCUGAAGACAGCUACAGUGUACUUACAUAUAAUUAAUAAUAAAAACAAAAAACAAAACCUAUUUCUUUAUUUUUGCCUUUUCCAUCCUCUUCUACUUCUGGUUAUAUAGGGGGUGUUAAAAUAGCCACAGAGAUUUUCCCCAGGCAAGGGGACUUGAUUUGGGAGGUUGCAAUUUUUUUUUUUUUUAGUCUCUGAAGACAGGGUUUCUCUAUGUUGUUGUGGCUGCGCUGAAACUCACUCUGUAGACCAGGCUGGCCUCAAACUCAGAGAGAUUCACCUGCCUCUGCCUCCCAGGUGCUGGGAUUAAAGGUGUGUGCUGCCACCCCCCAUAGGAGGUUGCAAAUUUAAAAAAAAAAUUAAAUUCCGACGUUGCAAAAAUACUAUGUUCAAAAUGCAGUUGGUUGUCCUCCAGAAUUUUUCUGCAGAACACUAAUCAAAUUUUAAAAUUUGUGAGUAAAGAAGAAGCAUUCUUUCAGAGUUUCAGACGUUCUUAGUCACAGUGGUUCCUUGAUUAUUUACGGAAAAGAUUAGACCUCUUUGCCUGGGAGACAGUUUUCCUGCCUGAACCAGGAAAGACUGACAGUAAGAGGUUUAGUGGCAAUUCCAGCAUCUUUAGAAGUAAGGGGGCUGCCACUGUACCUCAGAGUUUACACUAAGAACAAAUGUGUGGUUCAGUAAGUACCCUUAAUGGCUGAAGCUGCUUGUGUGGUGCUUAUGUAGAUAGUUCCAGCUCUCAGGACACUGAGGCAGGAGGAUUAUGAGUUCCAGGAUGGCUUAGCAAGACUGUCUUAAACAAAUGAUAGCGGAGUCCACGGCUGAAAGGGUACAUAACUAGACUGGCCUCCAUGUUCUGCGGUGUUUAUACCUUGGAAUUUUAGUUGUUUUAUUUUUUUCCCAUAACUUUUCCCAUAUGUUUCAUAUUCUGAGGUUAUUGUGUUAUAGUUUUUGGGUGAAGGACAUUUGUGGGGGGAAGAAUGAGAGAAAAGAAAACUCCUAGCCCAUCAAAGUUCACCACUCAAAGACAUAACGCGCCACGUGCAAGGGCGUUAAAGCAGAGCAUUGUGGAAUUCAGUUCUAGCCUCCCUGAGCUUUCCUGGAUUAUAUUCAUAGUCAUUUCAGAUCUCUGGUUGAAAUCUUGGAGUCUGGAGAUGUGAAUUGUUGUUUAAGUUAGAGGCAUACACUGGGCAGCGAAUCUUGGAAUUUGUCUUGUUGUAGACCUCAAUAGAUGAGACCGAAUUUCCUUUGUCAGUGCAGUUCCCCUGCAUUGGGCUUCUGUACAUGAAGCAGUUUGAUAAAUCCUUGUUACUUAGUAACUGGGCUGAUGAUCCGGAGGCCUGGGUUCACACUGUUGAUCCCACCUGUUCUUUCCUGUAGUUUUACCCACAGAUCCAUUCUUACCCAUCUACUCACACAGCCCUGCAGGGUGCAGGGAGAGAUGUGGUAGGGCAGGACUUUUCCUUUUCGGUGGGUGAUGCACUCACGUGCUGCAGGGCGUUGAGAAGCUCACUAUGUGCCAGGACACCUGAUGGUGAUGUGACUCCAGAUAUUUCCAGGUGUGGCUGUCAGGAUCCCUGCUGAGCACCACAGCUGUAAGUCUGCUCAGCAGGAGGCAGUUGAGGCCUACAGAACUGAGCGACAAGCUUUAGAUCAGACUGUUAGGUGGUAGAACCGGGUCUGAAAAUCCAGCUUCGUGAAUGAACCUGACAAAUGUUCAGUGUUUAUCUGCAGGGCGUCACCACCUCUGGAACCUGUACCAUUCAUCCUAAAAGAACCCCUAAAUGCUGGAGAAACUUUUGAGCAAUGUCAACAGCUGCAGUGGGUUUUUUGGAGUACUCAGUUUGCUGCUAUGAGCCGUAGAGUGACUACAUUUGAGGUGAAUGUAGAGUAUUGAUAACCACUGAAUUCCAGUCUACGGAAGCAAGCAGGAGUACAACUCUGGAAUCCAGUAUCCAUUGCCCAAAUAAAAUUAACUGCUUUAGGGCUUAUGUUGAUCUCUUCUGUAUUUUCCAUUUGUACUUUUUAUGUUUUCCAGUUUAUGCUUUUUAAUAAAGGCAAAAAUCUACACAGAGUAAUCCUUUAUACAUUUGUUGUUUUGUUCCAUUUUAUCUUCCUGUUCUGAGUCUUCAAUGCAUAGAAAUUCUGGAUUCACUUGGAAAUAAGCAAGAAAAGUCGUAAAGGAGGGUCCCACCGAGAACACGCAUGGUGCUACACGCCUGUAAUCACAGCAGUGGGAGAUAAGGGAAGGAGGAGCAGGAGUUCAAGGCUAUCCUUGGCUACGUAGAAUCUGAGGCCAGACUGUCCUUCAUGAGACUGUAUCAAUCAAGCAAAAAGUUGAGUACAGUUGGUUCUCAGAAAGAAACAAAUGUCAGACAGGGACAUCCAGAAUUAUUAAGCAAACGCUUGUUUAAGGUCGGGUCACAUUAUCUGAACACUGGGAUUCCAGAGUUCUUUCAAGCUCUUAGCUGUGAAAUCUCUCGGCUGUGGUGCAGUCAUGAGUAGGACCUUUCCUCUGGGUUGUGUAACAAAGCCAUUUAUCCUUGCGGGUUGCCUGAGCUACUUGCUGUGUUGAAGACCUCAAAUGCUUUGCUUUGAAGACGCUUUUCUUCUUAAAUGUACCGAGAUUUCUGGAUUUAUAAUUGGGUUGUUAUAUAAUGUGAUUCUAAAACUGAAUUUACAACAUGAAAGAGCUUUGAGACCCAUGGUCAGCCUACCAGGGGUCACGUCCUUAAAAUAAACUGUCUAUGCCCAGAAGCCACCGUCAGUAGCUUCUCAGGUAGGGGUUGGGGGGCUUGUGAGUCCCUCCCCAUCACUGCUGGAAUGUCGCAGGCUUGAUCUUAUACACAUAACCAUAUUUGCUGCUGUGAGUUCAUAAGUUCAAUGGUUCUGCCCUGUCCAAAGACACUGUUUUGCCACAGUCCACUAGACCUCUGGCCCUUACACUCUUUCCACCCCUCUUCUGUUGACCCUGAGUCUCAGGGGGAGAAGGAGAUGUGAUGUAGGCGUCCCAUUAGUGGCAGACAUAUGUUGCUUGCACUCUAUUUGUAAGUUUCUGUACUAACUACUGUCCGGUGCACAGCGGUUUCUCUGCUAUGAUCUGAGAGUUAUACUAAUAUAUGGGCACUGUGCCAUUUGAUAAAGCAUUUGAGGGGGCUGGAGAGAUGGCUCAGUGGUUCAGAGUACUGGCUGCUCUCCCAGGGGACCCAGGUUUGAUUUCCUGCACCUACAUGUUGGCUCACAACUAUUUCAGUGGAUCCAGUGGCCUCUCCUGGUCUCAGUAGACACCAGUUAUGCUUUUGGUCUACAGACUGCAGGCAAAACACUUAUGCAUAUAUGUUGAAUAGAUGAAUAAGAGAAAGAAAGAAAGAAAGAAAGAAAGAAAGAAAGAAAGAAAGAAAGGGAAAGGGAAAAAGGGAAAGGGAAAAAGGAAAAGGGAAAGGGAAAGAAAAAGAAAAAAGAGCGGCUUAGCGCCGGUCGCUCUGAGAGCUUUGCUUGUCGAACCCGUUUUUCAUAAAGAAAUACUGAAGAAAGCUGACCAGUUCCUGCAGUUCUAACACUAUGGCUCUGGCUCAGGGUUUAGUGACAUUCAGGGAUGUGGCUGUGGAUUUCUCUGAGGAGGAGUGGGAAUUCCUGGACCCUGCUCAGAAGAUCCUGUACAGGCAUGUGUGGGAGACCUACAGCAGUUUUAUCUCACUAGGAGACAGAUCUACUAGAAAGGAUGUGACACUCUUUCUGGAAGCAUCUUACCCUCUCACUGAGCACAAUAAAGAUCAUAGCUAAAGCGUUAAAAAAAGAAAGAAAGAAAGAAAGAAAGAAAGAAAGAAAGAAGAAAGAGGUUUUGAGCAUCUGCAGGUUUUUGUAUUGAAGUCUCCUUAUUCCUGUUAUCCAGGAUCCAUUUCAGUAUGGUACCCUAGCCUGCUUUCCUUCAAGCAGAGAGUGGUUCUCUGAUGUUUCCAGCUGCCCUGUACUUCGGACUAACAGCUUCUGUCCGUAUAUUGGAAUAUGCAGUUGGUUACCAAUAAACAUUUUGAUUCUCCCCUCCUUUGGUAGACAGUGCCUAGAUUUACUAAUUAGACAAGUAACUAACUCACCAAAUGUUAACAUAUUUAAUUUGGCUUAAUAUUAUUAAACAUUCGUUGGAUGCUCAUGGAUGUUGGUACUUUCCAGAAUGGUUUAUUGAUUACCUAAAGAGUGUGUGGGUGUCUUGGAGGUUGUGGAAAAGGGCUCCAGUCACUGCCUCUGUAGGAUAGAUAUACUACAGAAACCCCUUUGCCCUCAAAUUCAUGCCUCACUUAGACCUCAGAAUGGGGUCAGCACCUUAGGAUGGGAAUGGAAAUUGUGACUGCCUCUGAUUCUUUGGCCCUCCUCCUCCCCAGAAGUUUGUACUAGACACAGUUUCUAAGAGGAAGAGCUGGCAGGUUGUGGCCACAGUUGUUAAUAUGUGUGGUAGGCACUCUGCAUUUCAGCACUUUUGCUAUUGGACUCUCCUAGCUGCGGUAUCUGCAUGGUGCAGUUGGGAACAGGACACAGGAUACUUCAUUAAACAGUUCUUAAAGAUUAUUUUAUUUUAUGUCAUUGUUUUUGGUUGUAUGUAUGCAUAUGUACCUCUUGUAUGCCUAGUGCCCUCUGGAGGCCAGAGAGGGCAUUAAAUUCCCCAGAACUGGAAUUAGUAUGGUUGUGAGUUCUGAGAAUCAAGAAUCCUUUGGCUAUGCAGCCAGUGGUUUUAACUGCUGAGCCAUGUCUCUAGCCCCUGGCAUCACUUUCUUCUUGUUAGAUUUAUUCAUUUAAAGUAUAAAAGUAUUACCUGCAUGCAUGCAUGUAUGUGCGCUGUGUGUGUUCCAGGAACCUUUGGAGGUCAGAAGAGGGCAUUGGAGUCCCUGGAACUGGAGUUAUAGGUGAGCCACCAUGUGGGUGCUGCGAACCUUGGUGCUAGUGUCUCCCCAUCAUUUUUGAGACCUGUGAAAUCAUUUGGUGAACCUUUUUGGAGCAUGAUGACACAAUUUAAUACCUUUUGCAUUUCUUAAAUCUAGCUGGCUGUUGCAGCUUGAAGGAACAGGCUCCUUUCUGGCUAUGCAGAUAGUUCUUGUUUUACUCUACUAACAGAAUGAAAACUAAAGAAUGGAAAAUUCAAACAGUGAAGAAUUGAAAACAAGUCAGAACUGUUAGCUGUAUUUCUGUCUGGAUAACACUUAUCUCAGGUUGAUCUUUCUUUGAUAAAUCCCAUAAAUUAUGGAGAAUAGAUUUAAGGGCUCUCUUUCAGGGUUUUGUUUGCACUCCCUCCCCAGCAAGACAGGACUCCACUGUGCAGUACAGGCUGGCUGCAAAGGUGUGCUUCUCCUGCCUCAGCCUCCUGAGUGCUGAGGUAACAUUUUUGCAUCACCACACUUGGCUCUGUUUUUGAGGUUUUAAAUCUAUUCUUUUGUUUUUUUUUUUUUUCCAGACAAGAUCUCCUCCCUAUUGUGCUACCAUGCCCAACCUAAGUCUCUCCUUACUUUCUCCUUGCAUGUGUAUGCUUUUUGCACUUUAUGAUCAAUUCUAAGUUCUUCUCAUUGUUAAGGACUCUAGCCCUUGAGGGUUUGAGAGAAAGAGAGAGGGGGAGGGUGGAGAAGGAAUGAGAGAGAACAAAUUUGUCUUAAGCCUUGUUUGAGGUCUCUCUUGCACUUGUACUGUAGGCUACCCUGGCCUGUGAGCUUCUGGGAGAUUCUCUUGUUUCUGUCUCUUAUUGCCUCAAAGGAAUACUAAUAUUGUACUGCACCCUAACUUUCGUGUGUGACUCUGGGCUUCCAGUUUUAUGUGGUCAGGCUUGCAAAGCAAGUGCUUUAACCUGCUGGACCAUCUCUCAGGCGUGCCCCUGAGCUCUUAAAAAUUUUGUGCUGAUAGAAUUGUGAGAACUACAUUUAAUUUUCUAAUUAUUUCAAUCUGUAAACACAUAAACUUUAUGUAACACACAGGAAACACUUCCUUUCCUAUUUUCCUUAAAAGUCUGGAUCAGAUCCAGCCCUUUGGACUAGUCAGUAUUUAGGGCGAGUCUGCUACACCCAGGAAUGAAUGACACCGGCUCUGACUUCUAGAAGAGGUAGUCCUGUCCUGUUUCGCCCUCCCAGGCAGACAUGGUGCUGGAACAGUAGCUGGUAGCAUUGCAGCUAACAGCAUUUAUCAGCCUUAGUUAACAAUAUUGUAUUUGCAAAUCAAAAUUCUACCGCUUACUUGUAUCUGUUAAUUUCCAGAUUUCUACCCUCUUACUUUUCUUUGCCUAGUGAUUUCUCAGUGUUACCCUAAAUAUAUUUAUAAGUCAGUGUGCUAUUGAUUUGCAUUAGCGUCUAUAAGAUAAGAGUUUUUUCCUUUGAUGAAAGUUUACCCCUUGGUAUGGAAAGUUGAUGUUGUCAUUCAACUGGGGAUCGCGACCUGUGCCCAAGUGAGAUCUGGCCACCCAUCCUCAGUCACUAACUUUGAAAAGCCAAACUAGAAGCAGAGAACAGAAGACCGUUCAACGUGGCCACACUGGAGGAGCAACCGUCUUAGUAACUCGUCUUUUGCUGUGAAGAGACAUCCUGACCAAGGUGACUGUUAAAAGAAAGCAUUUAAUUGGGGGGUGGGGGCUUGCUUACAGUUUCAGAGGUGAGUCCUUGAACAUCAUGGCUGUGAACUUUGUAGCAAGCAGGCAGACUUGAUGCUGGAGCAGUAGCUGAGAGCUCACAUCUUAUCCAUACCCACGAGGCAGAAAGAGCAAAGCAAGACUGGGUCUGCCAUGUGCUUUUGAAACCCCACAGCUCACCCCCAAAUGAUACAUGUCCUCUUCACUUCCUCACACCAAGGCACACCUCCUCAUCCUUCCUAAAACAGUCCUUCCAACUAGGGACCAGGCACUCAAAUAAAUGAGCCUGUGGAUACCAUCCUCAUUCAAACUACCCCACAGGGACGAAAAGAUCCAGCGAACCUUCCAUGGCUGUCUUCAGGUCUUCGAGUGAGUUCAGAGUUUAAGUAGUGGUGAGGUAUGGGGAAUUGCAGGCUGGUCUCCAGUGGAGCUGAGGUCUGAACCCCGAUGGUCAUAAUUCACCCACAUGACACAGUAGGCGUUCCCUCAUGCUCCUGGAACUCCAGCCCCUGCCUAAGUUACCACCUCCCACAGCCCCCACAAGAGAAGCAUGGUCAGUAGUCACAUAAGCAAUGGCCCAAGCUUCUGACCUUCAGGCUAAACUCCUCCCCAGUUACCUAGCAACAGUGAAGACCAUAAAAAGGGGUGCUCAACCCCCCUCGCUCUCUUAUUCCUUUGUCCUCUCACCUCUCUUCUCCUCUUUCUCUUUGUUUUCUUUCCUCUCCUCUCUCCUUCUUUCUCUCUCUUUCUCUCUAGCCUUUCCUAUUCCUCUCUCUCUCUCUCUCUCUCUCUCUCUCUCUCUCUCUUUACUCUCUCUCUCUCCUGAAUUUCUAUAAUAAAGCUCUUAAACCAUAGAGUCUCUGCUCUGCUUCUUCAAGUUCUGCUGCGUAUUCUGGUCAGUGUUGGGAACUCCCACAACCCUGGUGGCUUUAGCAAAGUAGCUCUGGGGGUUCCCCAGGCAGGGCUGCCCCUUGGCCACCCUCUGAAGAGUGGGAUGGAGGAAUGCCCACCCAGGGAUGAGUAGAUAGGAUAGGUAGCAGCCCUCCCAUACCUGACUGAACAGAGAAUAGGGAAACUCUGGUGGAGUGUGGGCACCUUUUUCCUUUCGUUCUUCCCCAGGGCUCCUGGGCCCCUCUUCCCCCUUUAUUUUGUUCCCAGCAGUGAGGGAUAUGUGUGGUCCCACCUCCCACUUGUCCAUCAUUAUCUGAACCUCAGUCUUACUCUGUAAGGUGGUCUGACAGGUUGUUAGAAUUGUGUGAAAUCUGUUUUUGGGAGAUGAGUACCCCUCUGGCUGGCACCUUUCCUUUCUUCCAGCAUUAGAAUCCUGAGGGAAAUUUCCAUUUCUUUGGGGUCUGAAAAGUAUCUCUUUAGAAUACCUUCAUUUCUGUCAGGUUUGUUACAGUAUCUUUUAUUGGGUGGUGGGUCAAUCAAUGGUUAUAAAGAUAGAAGUGUCUUCUUGUCUGUUUUCGUGUGUGGGUGCACAUGCGUGUGAUGAUAAACAUUCGUGGAUGAUGGCUAGAAGUCAACCUCAAAGGAUGUUCUAUGGGAGCCUUUCAAUUGGGUUUUUGGUUUUUUGAGACAGUCUUUGCUGGCUUGAAUUCACUAUAUGUAGACCAGGGUGACCUCAGACUCCUAAGAGACCUCCCAUCUCAGCCUCUGGAGGGCUAUAUUUAAAGGCAUGUGCCACUAUGCCUGGCUUUCCAUAUUGUUUUGAGACAGUUUCUUAAUGGUACUCCCCAGAGGAACACCAGUUCAAACAAGCUGACAGGUCAGGGAAUCCUGAUGAUCUUCUUGUGUUUACCUCUUCAGAGCUUCCUUAUAAACGUGAACCAAAAUGCCUGGCUUGUUGCCAUGCUGGGGUUUGAACACAGGUCCUCAUCCUUGCAUAGCAAACCAUGUUACUCACUGAACAAUUUGAUUAUCCUCCUUUUUGCUUCUUGUUUUGUUCUUUUUAGAACAAGUAAUGACUACUUUGUAGCCCUGGCUGGCCUAGAACCAGUUUGAAACUACCUCAGCUUCUCCAGUGCUGGGAUUAGAGGCAUAUGUUACCAUGGUUGACAGAAAUAUAUUAUUUAAACAUAAGUUUCUGUGUGCUAUAUGUAUGGAGGAACUCAUAGAGGUCAGAAGAAGGCAUUAGAUCUCUUGGAACUGGAGUUAUAGCUGUCAUGUGUGCUGGGAACGUCUACAAGAGCAGCCAGUGCACUUAACUGCUGAUCCACUUUUCCAGCCUCAGGAAUGUAUCAUCACCUUAAAGCCUGUCACUAAAACUAUUAGACAUGUUGUUCAGACAUGAAUUGUAUUUAUUUUUAGUUAACAUAUACACCAACAGUUUCUGUGGAACAUUUUUAUCCAUACUUCAUUUUGGGUGAUCCUUCUCUGUGACUUGUCACCCGAUCCAAUCCUUGUAACUCCCCCCCCCCCAGCAGUCCUCAUUCCACCUUCUGUCACGUGCAUUUUAUUGCACUCCUCAUCUCUCUGGUUUUUUUUUUAAGAUUUAUUUAUUUUAUUUAUAUGACUACACUGUCACUGUCUUCUGACACACCAGACGAUGGCAUCAUUUGAUCAUUACAGAUGGCUGUGAGCCACCAUGUGGUUGCUGGGAGUUGAAUUCAGAACCUCUGAGAGAGCAGUUCGUGCUCUUAACCACUGAGCCAUCUCUCCAGCCAUUCUCUCUGCUUUUUAAAUAAAAUAUAAUUGCCUUGUUUCCCCUCUUUCCCUUUCUAUCUCCCAUCUCCCUCUCAAGUGCAUGCCCCUUUUUUCUUUGAGAGAGAGUGUGUAUGUGUGUGUGUGUGUGUGUAUUGGUUUGAAAGAAAAUGCCCCUCUAAGGCUCAUAGGGAAUGGCACCAUUAGGAGAUGCCUCAAGGGACCCCACCCUUAAACAAAAACUUCAGAAAACUCACUCCUCUUUGUUUUUGUAAGGGUCCAUGAUUUCCCCAAAGAAUGAGACUCUGGACUUAAAUAGUAUGCAAAAGCAAAGAGAAUUUUAUUCUGCAUAAGUCCAGCAUGCUGGGGUAUACUUUCUUCCAAGAUGGAGGGCCCAAAGUUACGCACAAGCCUGAUUUAAAGCACAUUAGGGGAAUUCUGGGGAGGGAUAGGUGACAUCUAUCUUAAUUUGUUGGCUCUAUCUGUAGGGACAUUCCAGAACCAUUACUGGGUGUGGGGGGCUGGAGAAGUCUGGAAACUGCUGUUGACCCAUUGUCCUUGCCGCUGGCCAGGUGGCAGGCAGCUUCUGAGUCCUGGACUUGCCUGGACUUUCCCAGUUUUUGGAAACAGAGAUUUAGGCCUAGUCUCCUGAACUGCCAGUGGAGUCAGCCUGUCUCAUUCCCCCCCCUUCUGUAAUGGGCCAUCUCAAAUCCUUUUUAAGGUAGGCUUCUACCCAUCCUGAAAAGGUAUCUAUGAAAACUAGCAAAUAGGAGUAUCUAUAUGUUCCUGGUUUUAUUUCUGUAUAAUCUAUUUCCCGAUUAGCCCCUGACCGUUGACCCCGAUUCAGGUUCCUUGACUGGGGCCUGAGGAGUUCUCAGCCUGGCAGGUGGCACAGUCUGAGAUACCUGAUCAACCAAGGGUCCUAAGUCAGAUACUUUGUACCUUGCCCCUCACAGCAAUUCCUUCAGCUUUCAGUGACCAGGUAUGAAGCUUGAUGAAUCUGAUGGAUGAGUUGCUUAGCAAUCUCCUUAGGGUGGUGCAGCCUUCAGAGGUCAGCAACCAUCUGUGUCUUCUGUAAACUCGUUGGCAUUUCCCCUGAUGUCAACAGUAUAUUCAGGGAUGGCUAGGGCUGACAGAGCUACCAGGCUGUUGUCAGCGGAAGUUUGGCAGCCUCCCUUUCGGCUUUAUCAGCUAGCCUGUUCCCCCGGGCUGUUUCUGAUGUCCCUUUCUGAUUCCUGGGGCAAUAAAUUACUUUGAGAGGAAGCCAUGAAUCCUCUGAUAAAGCAAGUAUGUAUUCCUUCCUUAUUGUUGUUUUUUCCUUCAGCAGCCAGUAAUCCCAUCUGCUGUCAGUGAAAUGUUAGCCAUGGCUCCUUUUGCCAGUUUUAAAGCCUGGCUGAGAACCUUUAGCUUCACCUUCAGCUUUCUGGGCUGAAGUUGCCAGCAGCAAAGCAGUUGUCCAAAUAACAGACUCCAAGUCCAUUACUGCCCCCCUGCAUACCUGAUUCCAUUCUGGAUGAAGCUGUGCCCAUCCGUGAAGUUGAUACUGGCCAGGGUCUGUCAGUCAAGUCCUGCAUGAUGUUCUGGAUGUGCCCAGAGCUACAGGGCAAUCGUGCUGCCCAUCUGAGGAUGGGUCAGGUAGGAGGGUAGCUGGGUUUAGGGCAGAUGAUGGGUUAUCUCUUAGGCAAGGGGAUUCCAAAGUAGGGCCUGAAAGUACUGCCAGCCAGGCUGAGAACUCCUCAAGCCCCAGUCAAGGAGCUGCUACAGAAACCAGAAUCAGUCUGGUGUUGGACAGCUACUGGCCGGGUAGAUUCUUGAGUGUACCCUCAAUAGCAUGGGGGUGGUGGUUAUAACAGUUCCUACCCUAUGGUUAUUUUGUCAGCAUCCUUAACUAGCAGGGCAGUGGCAGCUAUGAUCCAGAGGCAAGCUGGCCAUCCUUGGACCACUCGGUCCAGCUUCUUAGAUAAAUAAUCCACAGGUCUUUGCCACGGUAAGCACCCCGUUUGCUAUGCCCUUUCUCUCAUCUACAUACAUGUGGAAAGGUUUGUGAAUGUCCAGGAGGGCCCAGGCUGGUGCCUCCAAUAAGGCUCUUCCUAGAGUCUUAAAAGCCAUGUCCAUGUCAGGGGUCCAUUCUCUUCUUGGGCCCUGGUGGCCUCAUAUAAUGGUUUGGCUAUCUCAGUGAACCUUGGCACCAAAAGUCUACAUAACCCGUCAGACCCCAGAAAUUUCCAUACUUGCCUUUGGGUUGAUGGAACGGGGAUGCUAAGGAUGGUUGGCUUCCGGGGCGUCUGACAGCAUGCAUUGGCUGGCCCUCCUUGAAUAUGUACCCCAGAUAGGUGACCUCAAGUUGACAGAGCUAGGCCUUCUUAGCAGACACUCAGCCAAGUUGACUCGGCUCCUGUAGUAGGUCUCAGUGUGGUCUCCUGGUGUGUCUCCAAGUUGGGGGCCCACAAUACAUAACAUAGCACAGUUAUUUGGGGAUGGGCUCUCUGGUACUCACCCAAGUCCUCAUUCAGUGCCUCCUCAAAGGUGGUGGGUGAGUUCUUGAAUCCUUGAGGCAGGUAUGUCCAAGUUAGUUGUCCCUUCAAAGGCAAAUAAAGGCUGGCUUUUGGGUGUCAGGCAGGCUGGCAAAGCCAUUCGAUGGCUGAACUUCCAAUGGAUGUCAGGGGAAGCUUGGUUAACAAAAGCCAUGUUCACAGCUGACUGGUGCUGUCUGGCUUCUGUGUCAAAAGGAGUGUAGGUCCUACAGGCUUCAAAACGUCGUUCUAGAUAUUCCCCAAGACUCAUUCUUUCCCUGCAUCACCUGGCUCACUUUAGAUAAAUUCGUAGGUAGUCUGGCAGCCUCUCAGAGGCCCCCAUCAGAAUCUGGUGGUAGACCUGGAGCCUCUUCAUACACUCAGCACUGUUAACAUCCCAUUCAGGUCGAGUCAAAGGAAAGGCUCCUGGUAUCUUUGCACAGUAGUGUAGCUGGGUCAUGUGGUUCAUCACAUUUUAGUUGUGUAAGUCCCAUCCACAGUACAUAAUGGCUGCCCCAGAUUUUACUCUUUCAACGAUGGUCCUCCUUUCCCGCAUCCUCAGCAGCAUCCCUGCCAUUCAUUUUCCUGGUGGCACUCACUCUCAUUGGGGUGCAGUGGAAUCCCAAAGUAGUUUGAAUAUGCAUUUCUUUUAGAAACUGUUUAUGUGUCUGAAUGUUUUGCUUACGUGCAUGUAUGUGCAUCACAUGUAUGCAGUGACAGUAGGCGCCACAAGAGGGCAUUAGAUCCCCUGAAACCGGAGUUAUGGGUGUUUUUUGUUAAGUAACUGAGAAGAGUAAAGCCAGUUCCACAAUUAUCCAAUUAAAGCAAACAUUUUUUAGACGUGCACCUGAACUGGCCAGCUGACAGUCUCACCCUAAGUAGGGACUUUAGAGAGUAGCUGCUCUGGCCUUUUGAGGUCUCUGUCUUUUAUGGGGAAGAGGUAAAGGAUUAACAGCUGUAAGUGUGUUUACAGGGGUGAGAGAACUGGCUGAGAGAGAUUGUUAGGAAAAACAGUGAAAGCGGAAGGCAAGGAUACACAUCAUGUAAAUAGUGGUUUUCAGGUUACAUCGGAUUUAAGAAAAAGAAACAUUUGUAAAUAGAAACAGUCUUUGUAAAGUAUGGGAGCUUGGCAUAAUGGCCUCCAUAAUUUUCAAGGUAUGUUGCUUCUGCUUGGUCUCCCUUUGAGCUGUGAUUUUGGUUCCAGGAAACAAACCCAGGUCCUCUAGAAGAGAAGUGAGUGCUCUUAAUUGCUUAACCAUUUCUCCAGCCCCUCUGGCUCCCCUUUUAGAACAUUUGUGUUUUUUCUCUUGAGAACUCUCUGUUGAGAUCAUUAGCCUGAGUAUUGAUUGGCAGUGUGUGUGUUUGGCUAUUAACACCCAGUGUGAGGAUGGCUCAUUCUGUGGGUGGGCUUCCUCUUUGACAGGGUCCUUUGCUGUGCAGAAGCCUUCUCAGGUCCUGUAGUUUCCUUUGUUAGUUCUCUGGGUUGUUGCCUGUGUCCACGGGGGGGGGGGGGGGGGGGUGUUUCAGAAUGUUUUGGUCAUGCCUCUGACUUCAAGUGAGACAGUAACUAGCCUGCCAGAAAUGACAAUAUUCUAAAUAGACACUUAACAGUGGACCCCAAGAAGUGGGAAUUUCUUCAGGAAUCUCACUCGGGGAGAAGUAAAAGCCCCAGCCCCAGGGUGGGGGUGGGGGUCUUGUUGUUAGGAAGGGGAUCUACAAUUUAGAUGGUCUCACGGUCUCAUGGCGUGAGGCCAGCAGAUGAGAUGGGGACAGUGGUGGGCUAGGACCGCAGCUUUACCGGGACAGCUUAGAUGUGCACAGCACUGUUCCCUAUGUAAAAACAAACUGGAGGCAGGCCAGGCCCUGGACCUCUUUGUCCUUCCUCCCGUGUAGCCACACUGAAUAAACUUCCCUUUUCUGGUUUUUACUAUUAAUUGGGGUUUUAAAAUUGGUUUCUUGAGGACAGUGACUGAAUUUUGCUGCUUGGGGUACAGGCUGUUGACCCCAUAUUUGAUAACCUUUUCCUAUAGUAGUUCUAGGAGUUUAGGUUUUGAAUUAAAGUCUUUGAUCCACUUGGAAUUGAUUUUCAUGCAGAUGAGAGAAUGCAUGGAAUUUCAUUCUUCUGAGGUAGGUGUCCAGUCUCAGCAGCACUCUGUUUGUUGAAUAGGUUGUCUUUUGUAGGUGUAUGAUUAAUUUGUUUUAAAAUCUGUUUUUAUAUUUUCAUGUGUAUUUUUCCUGCAUCUAUGACUGCACUGUGUGUGACAGGAUACAUGUGACAAAGGGCUGGGGUACCUUUGGUGGGCCCUCCAAGAUCUGCCACUAACAAAAUACUCCAAGUGACAGAGCUAAUCUAAGAGGUAUAUUGGGGAAGUUGGGAGAGCAGAAGGCAGUCUUGGAGUGGGGACAUGAGAUGGAGACAGACAAGCAGACAGACAAAAGAACAAGUCAGAGAAGAAGGGAGGGAGGAGAGAGGAGGGAGGUGGAGGGAGAGAGAGAGAGAGAGAGAGAGAGAGAGAGAGAGAGAGAGAGAGAACAAGACAGGAAGGGGGGAGACACAGUGGGGGGGGGCUCUUAUGUGUGCACCUGUUGUACCUGUAGCACCUGUCAUACCUGUUGGUGGCAUGUGAUGCCUAAGUUGCUGCUAGACCCUGAGGGCAGGCUGGUGGACAUGCCUGACGUCUGACAGUGUGGGCAUGUGUGCCUCUUGCCCACAAAGGUGAGAAGAGGGCUCCAGAUUCCCUGGACCUGAAGUUACAGAUGACUGUGAGCCAUGUCUGUUCUAGGACUUGAAUCCAGGUCCUCUGGAAGAUUAGCUGCCUCUCUUAGCUGUUCCAGCCUUCCUUCCAAGUGGGAUGUUUUGACAGUUUUGUUAUCAGGUGGUUGAAGCUGUCUGUGUAGAUUUAUUUAUAGGCCUGUAUCAUGUUGCAUUGGUCUUCAUCUCUGUUUUUGUGUGGUACCUCUGUGUCUAUGGUUCUGUAAUAUGCUCUGAGGUCAGGUGUUAUGGUAAUGUUCUCUCUGCUGAGGAUGGCUUUGGCUGCCUGUGAAUUGUGUGUGUGUGUGUUUGUAAGAAUUUUGGGUUUUCCUUUUACUUCUCUGAAGAACUGGACACAUUUCUGAUAAGAAAGGUACUUGAAGUUAAUCCUGCUCCUUCUGCCUUAAAAAAGUUAGCUGUUAUCCGUGCACAAAAAAAAAAAAAAAAAAAAAAAAAA